rnacentral:tRNA from 1 species
GGGCCCGUAGCUCAGCUGGCAGAGCAGUUGACUCUUAAUCAAUUGGUCGUAGGUUCGAAUCCUACCGGGCCCGCCA